CCGUCUGCGACCCGGGAGAUGGACACCAGGGCGCCAGACUCUCUGGGAUUGGUUGAGAUUACAGGAAUUAUGUUUGGCAGUGUUGCUCUGUUCUGGUACCCUCUGGGAGAGCACCUCCCCUCCUCCACCUCCUCGCCCUUCCACAUGCCGACAUAGAAAGCCAUAAGACUGGAAGAGCACCUCCCCGCCCUUCCGUGUACAAACCAAUUGCCAAUGAAUGCUUGGAGGGAAAUCAGCUGAUGAAAGCUUGACUUGACAUGGACUGCUAUCAGCCAAUGUAUUGGGUUUGUGAGCUGAGCUUGACUUCGUUGCCUGCCUGAAUUAACAAUAUGCUUAAUUUUAACUAUAACAUUGUACUUUAAACAAUAUGUAAAUGGAAAAAUGUUGCCUACAUUUUGCAAAUUACAAGCCUUGCUGAAAUAGAACAAUCAUCUCGAGGGACAGGCCAAAAACCCAUCAGCAAAAAGUAAUUUUUGAUUGUUUAAAAUAAUUUUAAUUGGCUUUAAUUUGAUGCUAUAUUGAGGAAAGAAGACAUGGUAAUGCUUUGAAAUACAUAUUUGUUUGUUAUGACAGACAUUAUCUGUAAUUUUAUGACUGAAUAUUUCUUCCUCCACCAAUAAGAGGGUUACAGCAGUCUGGAUGCAGUCUGGAUGUGGGUUGUGGGUUAACACCUCCCCUGUGGUGCGGACUAUGUGUGUGUUCUGUAGUGUUUAAUCUGUAGAUCCUCAGUCGAUGUCAGUGAAGGCGACAGCUGCUGCAGAUUAGAGACACUUUAAUCUGACAGAUUAACUCCAGAUUAACACGAAUUAACUCU